AGUGAACGCUGGCGGUAGGCCUAACACAUGCAAGUCGAACGGCAGCACAGUAAGAGCUUGCUCUUACGGGUGGCGAGUGGCGGACGGGUGAGGAAUACAUCGGAAUCUACUUUUUCGUGGGGGAUAACGUAGGGAAACUUACGCUAAUACCGCAUACGACCUACGGGUGAAAGCAGGGGAUCUUCGGACCUUGCGCGAUUGAAUGAGCCGAUGUCGGAUUAGCUAGUUGGCGGGGUAAAGGCCCACCAAGGCGACGAUCCGUAGCUGGUCUGAGAGGAUGAUCAGCCACACUGGAACUGAGACACGGUCCAGACUCCUACGGGAGGCAGCAGUGGGGAAUAUUGGACAAUGGGCGCAAGCCUGAUCCAGCCAUACCGCGUGGGUGAAGAAGGCCUUCGGGUUGUAAAGCCCUUUUGUUUGGAAAGAAAAGCAGCAGGUUAAUACCCCGCUGUUCUGACGUUACCCAAAGAAUAAGCACCGGCUAACUUCGUG
rnacentral:rRNA from 1 species